ACAAAGGAUCAGGAUGUCACACUGUUAAUCUGCAUCCGAUGGAUUAAAAUCAUGAAUGUUUUUAAACUACUGAACAAAACAUCCCAGUAACAGAAAAAUACGUCUCACUGAACCGAUUAAUGUGUGGAAAUGUCUUGUAUUUGUGAGGUGUUACUCGUUUAACAUUAAGUGUUGCAGCUGGGAUACAUUUCUGUUUACGCCAGUGUGUUGCUAAGCAACGACUGAACUGAGCUGAAAACAAGCUGCUCCGUGAAUCUUCCUGGGACAAUUUUCUAUGAAUCUAUGUAUUUUUUAACAGCAAACACUUUGGUCUCUCUCAGCUUUGUGCAGGUCGAUAUAAAAUGGCAUCAAGCUAUGGAUCACUUGUUAAGGAGGCCAUUGCAUUGCUCGAUAAGUUCAACGCUGGCAGACAGUGUUUGGAUGACUUCAUAGAAGAUGCUUCAAAAGAUCUGCAGAACAUGGAUGCACAGCAGAGGAAGUUCAUACUUGAUGUUGUCUCUGGAUGCACUGAGCACAAAAACUUACUGGACGUAGUUAUUAAUGUUUUCUAUGGUCAGAAUGGGAGAUGCUUAUCCAGAGG